GAAAUGCGAUAAGUAGUGUGAAUUGCAGAAUUCAGUGAAUCAUCGAAUCUUUGAACGCACAUUGCGCCCCUUGGUAUUCUAUGGGGCAUGCCUGUUCGAGCGUCAUUUGUACCCUCAAGCUCUGCUUGGUGUUGGGUGUUUGUCCCGUCUCCGCGCGUGGACUCGCCCCAAAGUGAUUGGCAGCCGGCGUACUGGUCCCGGAGCGCAGCACAUGUCGCGCAAACGAGUGCCUUGGUACGGCGGCGUCCAUAAGCCCCUCUCUCACGCUCUUGACCUCGGAUCAGGUAGGGAUACCCGCUGAACUUAAGC
rnacentral:misc_RNA from 1 species